GGGAGAUUAGCUCAAUUGGUGGAGCAACCGUUUUACACACGGAAGGUUAAGUGUUCAAAUCACUUAUUUCCUA
rnacentral:tRNA from 1 species